CUAUACAUGCAGUCGUACGCUUCUUUUUCCACCGGAGCUUGCUCCACCGGAAAAAGAAGAGUGGCGAACGGGUGAGUAACACGUGGGUAACCUGCCCAUCAGAAGGGGAUAACACUUGGAAAAGGUGCUAAUACCGUAUAACAAUCGAAACCGCAUGGUUUUGAUUUGAAAGGCGCUUUCGGGUGUCGCUGAUGGAUGGACCCGCGGUGCAUUAGCUAGUUGGUGAGGUAACGGCUCACCAAGGCUACGAUGCAUAGCCGACCUGAGAGGGUGAUCGGCCACAUUGGGACUGAGACACGGCCCAAACUCCUACGGGAGGCAGCAGUAGGGAAUCUUCGGCAAUGGACGAAAGUCUGACCGAGCAACGCCGCGUGAGUGAAGAAGGUUUUCGGAUCGUAAAACUCUGUUGUUAGAGAAGAACAAGGAUGAGAGUAACUGUUCAUCCCUUGACGGUAUCUAACCAGAAAGCCACGGCUAACUACGUGCCAGCAGCCGCGGUAAUACGUAGGUGGCAAGCGUUGUCCGGAUUUAUUGGGCGUAAAGCGAGCGCAGGCGGUUUCUUAAGUCUGAUGUGAAAGCCCCCGGCUCAACCGGGGAGGGUCAUUGGAAACUGGGAGACUUGAGUGCAGAAGAGGAGAGUGGAAUUCCAUGUGUAGCGGUGAAAUGCGUAGAUAUAUGGAGGAACACCAGUGGCGAAGGCGGCUCUCUGGUCUGUAACUGACGCUGAGGCUCGAAAGCGUGGGGAGCAAACAGGAUUAGAUACCCUGGUAGUCCACGCCGUAAACGAUGAGUGCUAAGUGUUGGAGGGUUUCCGCCCUUCAGUGCUGCAGCUAACGCAUUAAGCACUCCGCCUGGGGAGUACGACCGCAAGGUUGAAACUCAAAGGAAUUGACGGGGGCCCGCACAAGCGGUGGAGCAUGUGGUUUAAUUCGAAGCAACGCGAAGAACCUUACCAGGUCUUGACAUCCUUUGACCACUCUAGAGAUAGAGCUUCCCCUUCGGGGGCAAAGUGACAGGUGGUGCAUGGUUGUCGUCAGCUCGUGUCGUGAGAUGUUGGGUUAAGUCCCGCAACGAGCGCAACCCUUAUUGUUAGUUGCCAUCA
rnacentral:rRNA from 1 species